GCGAGAAAACUUUGCAAUGUGCGAAAGCACGACAAGGUUAAUCCGAGUGGUUCCUGCUAAAGGAACCUUUUGACGGUCCUAAAAACACCGUUGAAUAAGGGGUGGGCAAGUUCUGGUGUCAGCCGCCGCGGUAAAACCAGCACCUCAAGUGGUCAGGAUGAUUAUUGGGCCUAAAGCAUCCGUAGCCGGCUCUGUUAGUUUUCGGUUAAAUCUGUACGCUCAACGUACAGGCUGCCGGGAAUACUACAGAGCUAGGGAGUGGGAGAGGUAGACGGUACUUGGUAGGAAGGGGUAAAAUCCUUUGAUCUAUUGAUGACCACCUGUGGCGAAGGCGGUCUACUAGAACACGUCCGACGGUGAGGGAUGAAAGCUGGGGGAGCAAACCGG
rnacentral:rRNA from 1 species